rnacentral:lncRNA from 1 species
CUGAUCGCGACUAUCAAGUCGGGUAGAAGCACCGACCCAUGUUCCUGAAAGUACGUCUCGUACAGCCUAUUACUUCUCUCAAUGGCUGUAUCGUCGCCCGUAAUCCUCAGUCCAGUGAUCAAUGUAAACUCAAAUGUCGAGAAACUGACGACCUUGCCCCGAGGUUGAACUGGAGGGAAUCGCCAUCGACUGGCCUCAAAAGCCGACAUAGAAGUGUAUUGAUGAUCUGUCUUGAGUACUGCACCUCUCGCAACUGGUACAAUGGCCAUAAGAAGGACUGUCGUAGCAUAUUUCUGUGCUGAUCAUCGAGCAGCUCCAACACAGCAGUAAAACUCUCAAAGCUACUGUUCCAAGUAGCC